GACGAACGCUGGCGGCGUGCCUAAUACAUGCAAGUCGAGCGCUGUAGCUUGGUCCUUGUACCAACUGGAUGAGCAGCGAACGGGUGCGUAACGCGUGGGGAAUCUGCCUUUGAGUGGGGGACAACAUUUGGAAACGAAUGCUAAUAGCGCCUAAAACCUUUAAACACAAGUUAUCAGUUUGAAAGAUGCAAUUGCAUCACUCAAAGAUGAUCACGCGUUGUAUUAGCUGGUUGGUGGGGUAAAGGCUCAUCAAGGCGAGGAUACAUAGCCGACCGGAGAGGUGCGUCGCCCAGAUGGGAAUUGAGACACGCCCAGACUUCCUCCGGGAGGCACCGUCGGGAAAUCUUCGGCAAUGGACGAAAGUCUAACGGAGCAACGCCGGGUGAUGAAGAAAGUUUUUGGGUCGUAAAAACCUGGUUGGUGGGAAGAAACAGGAUGGAGGGGGAAAGGCCAAUCAUUGGACGGAAACAACCAGAAAAGCAACGCCUACUUACGU
rnacentral:rRNA from 1 species